CUCCAAUUGACAGAUCUGUUAUUAGAUUACCACGAGCCUCUUCACAGAGAUUGAAAUCCGUGUAUGCGGUUAUCACUGCUGUUCAUUGAUGCUGCUUCUACAGGUAUAUUGUCUAGUUUCCAUCAUACGGAUCAGUCUGUCGCUGCAAAAGUCAGUAAGGCUACAAAUCUACUAAUUCAUUCAGUGAGUUAAAAUAUUCGUUUGCCAUUUAUAAAGCAAUGUGAAG